rnacentral:lncRNA from 1 species
GGCUGCAUUUACACCAAAACCAUGAAGGUGGCCCAAGUCAUCACUGAGAAGUAGUACAAGCACCGAGGGAAUGACUUCAACAGGAACAAGAAAGCGUGGAAGGAGAUCCUAGCAGGAAGCUCCACAAGAAGAUAGCAUGUUACGUCUUGCAUUGGAUGAAGCAGGUUCAGAGAGACCUAGUGACAGCUAUCUCCGUCAAGGUGCAGAAGGAGAGAUCAUUGAAGUAGAUUUUCAUGCAAAAAAAAAAAUGUUGAAGUCUUUGGACUUCGGGAGUCUGUCCAAACUGCAGGUCACUCAGCCUACAGUUGGGAUGAAUUUCAAAACACCAGUUGGAG